rnacentral:lncRNA from 1 species
GGUAAGUGUAGCUGUAUAGAUGGAGAGGGAAGGGUAAGUGUAGCUGUAUAGAUGGAGAGGGAAGGGUAAGUGUAGCUGUAUAGAUGGGGAGGGAAGGGUAAGUGUAGCUGUAUAGAUGGAGAGGGAAGGGUAAGUGUAGCUGUAUAGAUGGAGAGGGAAGGGUAAGUGUAGCUGUAUAGAUGGAGAGGGAAGGGUAAGUGUAGCUGUAUAGAUGGGAAGGGUAAGUGUAGCUGUAUAGAUGGAGAGGGAAGGGUAAGUGUAGCUGUAUAGAUGGAGAGGGAAGGGUAAGUGUAGCUGUAUAGAUGGAGAGGGAAGGGUAAGUGUAGCUGUAUAGAUGGAGAGGGAAGGGUAAGUGUAGCUGUAUAGAUGGAGAGGGAAGGGUAAGUGUAGCUGUAUAGAUGGAGAGGGAAGGGUAAGUGUAGCUGUAUAGAUGGGGAGGGAAGGGUAAGUGUAGCUGUAUAGAUGGGGAGGGAAGGGUAAGUGUAGCUGUAUAGUUCUAAUAGAGAGGGAAGGGUAAGUGUAGCUGUAUAGAUGGUGGAGGGAAGGGUAAAGGGAAGGGUAAGUGUAGCUGUAUAGUUCUAAUAGAGAGGGAAGGGUAAGUGUAGCUGUAUAGAUGGAGAGGGAAGGGUAAGUGUAGCUGUAUAGAUGGAGAGGGAAGGGUAAGUGUAGCUGUAUAGAUGGAGAGGGAAGGGUAAGUGUAGCUGUAUAGAUGGAGAGGGAAGGGUAAGUGUAGCUGUAUAGUUCUAAUAGAGGGAAGGGUAAGUGUAGCUGUAUAGAUGGGGAGGGAAGGUGUAGCUGUAUAGAUGGGGAGGGAAGGGGUAAGUGUAGCUGUAUAGAUGGAGAGGGAAGGGUAAGUGUAGCUGUAUAGAUGGAGAGGGAAGGGUAAGUGUAGCUGUAUAGAUGGAGAGGGAAGGGUAAGUGUAGCUGUAUAGAUGGGGAGGGAAGGGUAAGUGUAGCUGUAUAGAUGGAGAGGGAAGGGUAAGUGUAGCUGUAUAGAUGGAGAGGGAAGGGUAAGUGUAGCUGUUUAGAUGGAGAGGGAAGGGUAAGUGUAGCUGUAUAGAUGGAGAGGGAAGGGUAAGUGUAGCUGUAUAGAUGGAGAGGGAAGGGUAAGUGUAGCUGUAUAGAUGGAGAGGGAAGGGUAAGUGUAGCUGUAUAGAUGGUGGAGGGAAGGGUAAGUGUAGCUGUAUAGAUGGAGAGGGAAGGGUAAGUGUAGCUGUAUAGAUGGAGAGGGAAGGGUAAGUGUAGCUGUAUAGAUGGAGAGGGAAGGGUAAGUGUAGCUGUAUAGAUGGAGAGGGAAGGGUAAGUGUAGCUGUAUAGAUGGAGAGGGAAGGGUAAGUGUAGCUGUAUAGA